UACGAAGGGGGCUAGCGUUGUUCGGAUUUACUGGGCGUAAAGCGCACGUAGGCGGAUCUUUAAGUCAGAGGUGAAAUCCCAAGGCCCAACCUUGGAACUGCCUUUGAUACUGGGGAUCUUGAGUCCGGGAGAGGUGAGUGGAACUGCGAGUGUAGAGGUGAAAUUCGUAGAUAUUCGCAAGAACACCAGUGGCGAAGGCGGCUCACUGGCCCGGUACUGACGCUGAGAUACGAAAGCGUGGGGAGCAAACAGG
rnacentral:rRNA from 1 species